rnacentral:rRNA from 1 species
CCUACGGGAGGCAGCAGUAGGGAAUCUUCCGCAAUGGACGAAAGUCUGACGGAGCAACGCCGCGUGAGCGAAGAAGGCCUUCGGGUCGUAAAGCUCUGUUGUUAGGGAAGAACAAGUACGAGAGUAACUGCUCGUACCUUGACGGUACCUAACCAGAAAGCCACGGCUAACUACGUGCCAGCAGCCGCGGUAAUACGUAGGUGGCAAGCGUUGUCCGGAAUUAUUGGGCGUAAAGCGCGCGCAGGCGGUCCUUUAAGUCUGAUGUGAAAGCCCACGGCUCAACCGUGGAGGGUCAUUGGAAACUGGGGGACUUGAGUGCAGAAGAGGAGAGUGGAAUUCCACGUGUAGCGGUGAAAUGCGUAGAGAUGUGGAGGAACACCAGUGGCGAAGGCGACUCUCUGGUCUGUAACUGACGCUGAGGCGCGAAAGCGUGGGGAGCAAACAGGAUUAGAUACCCUGGUAGUCCACGCCGUAAACGAUGAGUGCUAAGUGUUAGAGGGUUUCCGCCCUUUAGUGCUGCAGCUAACGCAUUAAGCACUCCGCCUGGGGAGUACGGCCGCAAGGCUGAAACUCAAAGGAAUUGACGG